GCUGGGCGCAGUGCUUGUAGUCCCAGCUACUCGGGAGGCUGAGGCUGGAGGAUCGCUUGAGUCCAGGAGUUCUGGGCUGUAGCGUGCUAUGCCCAUCGGCUGUCCGCACUAAGUUCGGCUUCAUUAUGGUGACCUCCCGGGAGCAGGGGACCACCAGGUUGCCUAAGAAGGGGUGAACCGGCCCAGGUCAGAAACAGAGCAGGUCAAAACUCCCGUGCUGAUCAGUAGUGGGAUCGCACCUGUGAAUAGCCACUGCACUCCAGCCUGGGCAACAUAGCGAGACCCCAUCUCU
rnacentral:SRP_RNA from 1 species